rnacentral:rRNA from 1 species
UGGGGAAUAUUGCACAAUGGGCGGCAAGCCUGAUGCAGCGACGCCGCGUGCGGGAUGGAGGCCUUCGGGUUGUAACCGCUUUGUUCAAGGGCAAGGCAGGCUUUCGGG